CUGGCUCCUACCCCAAGCGGGAGGCCAGGCCCCCUGGCCCUCACAUGCCUCCUGCACUUGCAGGGCCAGGCCCUGGAGCCCCCUUGGUGGAGAAAGCCCUAUACCUGCAGAACCAUGCAAAUGAAUGACUAAAUAGAUCACUUCAGAGGGUGACAAUAAAAGUACAAGGGCUCUGGACAAGGGCAGCCGUUUCUGUGGCUGGGCUCGGACACUCAUGGCCUUGCCUGGAUCUGGAUAAAGAAGGUAAAUUGGUGUGGGACAGAGAGAAUGAAACUUCUGAAGACACCGGAAUGAUGAGAGAGCUGCCACUCGACCUGCCACUCUUACCUUUGGGCAGCAGCUGCCACCAUCUCCUCUCAGCACGUGUGGAUGGAGCCCUUAGUGGAAGCACCUUCCCUCCUGGACCACAUCCCAUCUGGAACAGCCCUUCUCUGAAGAACCUUCUCACUCCCAGCACCCCUCACCUGGCACAACCCUUCAGCUAGAGACUCCCUCACCUGGAACACAUCUCACCUAGAAUACCCUUUCAACAAGAGCACCCCAUCCCAGCACUCAGGAGGCUGAGGCAGGAGGAUUGCUGUGAGUUCGAGACCAGCCUGAGCUACCC